UACAGAGGUCUCAAGCGUUGUUCGGAUUCAUUGGGCGUAAAGGGUGCUUAGGUGGCGCGCUAAGUCAGGUGUGAAAUCUUGGGGCUUAACUCCGAAACUGCAUUUGAUACUGGCGUGCUUGAGGACUGGAGAGGAGACUGGAAUUCACGGUGUAGCAGUGAAAUGCGUAGAGAUGUGGAGGAACACCAGUGGCGAAGGCGGCUUUUUGGUCUGUAACUGACGCUGAGGCGCGAAAGCGUGGGGAGCAAACAGG
rnacentral:rRNA from 1 species